UGGGGAAUAUUGGACAAUGGGCGCAAGCCUGAUCCAGCCACGCCGCGUGAGUGAUGAAGGCCUUCGGGUCGUAAAGCUCUGUGGGGAGGGACGAACCGCUGGGUAUUAAUACCAUCCAGCAUGACGGUACCUCCUUAGCAAGCACCGGCUAACUUCGUGCCAGCAGCCGCGGUAAUACGAAGGGUGCAAACGUUGCUCGGAAUUAUUGGGCGUAAAGCGCACGUAGGCGGCUCUAUAAGUCGGAUGUGAAAUCCCUCGGCUUAACCAAGGAAGUGCAUCCGAAACUGCAGAGCUUGAGUACUUAAGAGGAUCGCGGAAUUCCCGGUGUAGAGGUGAAAUUCGUAGAUAUCGGGAGGAACACCAGUGGCGAAGGCGGCGAUCUGGGAAGAUACUGACGCUGAGGUGCGAAAGCGUGGGGAGCAAACA
rnacentral:rRNA from 1 species